rnacentral:tRNA from 1 species
GGGCCGUUAGCUCAGUUUGGUAGAGCGGCUGACUCUUAAUCAGCGGGUCGUAGGUUCGAGCCCUACACGGCCCA